UUGCAAUAUAAUGUUUGAUUUUGAAUUUCUUGCUUAAUGAACUAUUUCCCAGGUUGUAUUUUUUCUAUAUGGCUCUAGCUGACAUCACAUUAUGAGAGAUGAAAACAAAAACUAGCUUCUCAACUUUCGGAAAUGCAUGUAUCCGAAACCUAUAUAUUUAAACAAUUACAAUAUCAUAAGAACCUCCUAUAAAAUACUUGUAGAAGUGGAGCAUGUUCUGCUAGAAUUAGGUUUUGACCUAUGAAGAUGUUCACAUCUUCAAGAAGCUUGUAAUUCUUUCCUAUGGUAGAGUUCUAAUCGGCCCCUAACAUAUAUUAGAAUUUCACCCAAUAAAAAUAAAAUAAAAACAUUCCACGGAAAAUAUAAAUAGAUUUAUACUCAAUAGAACAACUUUCAACAACCAUACAUGUUCAAGUAUUUCCUUCGUCAUGCAGCAAAGCUCAAAUGAGAUUGUAUCAUAAAAAGUUAGGAUAAGCAGAAGUACCAUAACUCAAAAAUAAAAAAGAAGUAAAUAAGAACUUAAUUUGUAAGAAAUUUUAUUCCGCAACUUUAUCAAAUACUUAAUGUGCACCCAAUUAUUCAAGAAAACCAAGCAUGUUCGGAUUAACUUACAUGAAAUUUUGGAAAUCAAAUAACAAAAACGUUAUAAAAGAAAUCAUUCCAUACCUUUUAAUUAAUAUAUAUCUCUGUUGAACACCUCAACUUCAACGAUGAUGAGCAAACACUUGGAAGAAACCUAGGAUUUGCAGAGAAGGUGAAUUUUAGGAUAAUCAGAAGAGAUGAAGAGACCGUUUAAGAAGAUAAAAUCAUAUGCCAUUAUAUUUAAGAAGUAAUCACUAUUUCACAUUUCUUUCUCCAUCCAUUGUAGAUUACUCGGAAGAAGAGACCAGAGUCACUUGAGAUCACAUGCAUGUACGAUUCAAAUCGUUUCUUCAUUAGGCUUUGUAUUUUCUUCAUUGCUAGGGUUUUGCUCUAAAUAAGAACCAAAAAAAUCACAUUUGAUCAACAGGAAGAGGGAGAAAUGGAGACACAUUGUGACAUUGCUUAUAAUAUUAGUAUCAGCCGACUAUUUUUACGAGGCUGAAGCGGUUAGAGGGGUUUGUGUGUGCGUUAAUCUUACAUGAAGAACAGAGGUAGACAGAUCCACCUGAAACCCAACUAAUCUCAGAAGAAUGAAUCUAUAAAAUAGGAAAGAAAGGAAAAUUGAAGGAGACGGAGAAAGAAAGGAGCAUUCAAGAAGAGUAUGAGAGCUCGUGCCGAUUCAUGCAUCGUUUUCUGAAGAGGUGGUGGAGUUGGGUGUCACAGAGGGAAAGAAAGGCAUACAUCCGUGUUCUGAAAUUCAUGAAAACUACACAAAUUACAUGAUGGUAAAAUAAGACAGCUAAAGGCAGAACAUCUUUUAUCAAACAAGAAAGAGCACAUUUCAAAUACAAAAAUAUCUUAUAUACAUGAGAAUGCCACAGAUUCCAUCAAAAUUAGCGUGAAAACAUGAAUUUAACAAGAAAUCUGAUUGAUAUAAUAGAGAGAAAGAGAGAGAGAGAGAGAGAGGGAGAGGAGAUCUAUCCCGUGCUUUCCUGUUUCUGCACCUAUUUGUGUGUGUGUCGACCACAAUCCAAAUAAGUUUAUCUUACCAAAACUAUUAAAUCUAAUUAUGAAAAAAAAUAAAUUAAGAUUGAAAUGACUUGGAGAGUAUACCUAAUUUAGUUCACCAAUCAUGAGAGCGCUAGUCGAUGGUGAAGAACUGAAGAUGUAAUUACACAUACAUGUCUCGGAAAACUCAAACUAAGAUAAGGAUAACAGAGUUUUAGAAGUUUCAAGCCAAAUCAAGAAGAUCUGAAAGGCCACAGAAAGCUUGUAUGUCCUGGGAACCUUACGGUAUAGAAUCCGGUCAUGUAUGCUCAAAUACACAAUCUUAACCCUAUCGUUGCCGAUCAAUCUGGCUAAUGUUUCCCCAACUUCUCUUCAUGAAUCCUUUUCCUCACGAACUCCAAAAGCUCUAACACGUAUUCAUGAAGAUAUUUGAUUUCAAAUGGAAACGUCUGAGGAGAAGAAAGAGAGUAGCAACAAUCCCAAAGAAUCUAAACUAAAAUCAAAAGAUACCAUUACAUGAUGCAUAAAGAAAUGAAAUAUCAUCAUAAAAAUAGAGAAACUAACCAUACCUUUCUAAUCGGUGUGAUGUUUGAAUCCAAGAUUUGAAAUCCUAAAGAGUCUAUAAACUAACCCUAGAUGAACGCUCUUUGAGAGAGAGAGAGAGAGAGAGACGUGGUUAAAAAAAUGAGAAAGAAAAAUAAAAUAAAGUAGAGAUUGAUAAAUUAAGGAGAUCGGUGAUGGAAGACAACCAGACAUAAGCUAUUUAUGAGUGGUCGAGAGUUGCGGUGGUGUGCAGAAGAAUACACGUUGAUAGAAGCGGUGUAAGACAUGCACCAGUGCAUAACACGGAAC
rnacentral:lncRNA from 1 species